AUUGAACGCUGGCGGCAUGCCUUACACAUGCAAGUCGAACGGCAGCAUGGAGAGCUUGCUCUCUGAUGGCGAGUGGCGAACGGGUGAGUAAUGCAUCGGAACGUACCGUGUAAUGGGGGGUAACGUAGCGAAAGUUACGCUAAUACCGCAUACGACCUGAGGGUGAAAGCAGGGGAUCGCAAGACCUUGCGUUAUACGAGCGGCCGAUGUCAGAUUAGCUAGUUGGUGAGGUAAAGGCUCACCAAGGCGACGAUCUGUAGCGGGUCUGAGAGGAGGCUCCGCCACACUGGGACUGAGACACGGCCCAGACUCCUACGGGAGGCAGCAGUGGGGAAUUUUGGACAAUGGGGGCAACCCUGAUCCAGCCAUGCCGCGUGAGUGAAGAAGGCCUUCGGGUUGUAAAGCUCUUUCGGCCGGGAAGAAAUCGCACAGGCUAAUACUCUGUGUGGAUGACGGUACCGGCAUAAGAAGCACCGGCUAACUACGUGCCAGCCGCCGCAGUAA
rnacentral:rRNA from 1 species